rnacentral:rRNA from 1 species
CCCUUAGAUGUUCUGGGCUGCACGCGCGCUACACUGAUGCACUCAACGAGUUUACGACCUUGCCCGACAGGGUUGGGUAAUCUUUUUAAAAUGCAUCGUGAUGGGGAUAGAUUAUUGCAAUUAUUAAUCUUCAACGAGGAAUUCCUAGUAAGCGCGAGUCAUCAGCUCGUGCUGAUUACGUCCCUGCCCUUUGUACACACCGCCCGUCGCUCCUACCGAUUGAGUGCUCAGGUGAAUAAUUCGGACUGCAGCAAUGUUUGGAUCCCGAACGUUGCAGCGGAAAGUUUAGUGAACCUUAUCACUUAGAGGAAGGAGAAGUCGUAACA